rnacentral:rRNA from 1 species
UACGUAGGGUGCGAGCGUUAAUCGGAAUUACUGGGCGUAAAGCGUGCGCAGGCGGUUUUGUAAGCCAGAUGUGAAAUCCCCGGGCUUAACCUGGGAAUGGCAUUUGGGACUGCAAGGCUUGAGUGCGGCAGAGGAGACUGGAAUUCCUGGUGUAGCAGUGAAAUGCGUAGAUAUCAGGAGGAACACCGAUGGCGAAGGCAGCCUCCUGGGCCAACACUGACGCUCAUGCACGAAAGCGUGGGGAGCAAACAGG